rnacentral:tRNA from 1 species
GGGGGUGGAUUGGGCCUGGUGGCCCGCCCGGACUUCAAAUCCGGCGGCGGGCAUGGACUGUCCGCGGUGGGUUCGAUUCCCACACACUCCCGCCA